rnacentral:rRNA from 1 species
CCUACGGGAGGCAGCAGUGGGGAAGUAUUGCACAAUGGGCGCAAGCCUGAUGCAGCAACGCCGCGUGAGGGACGACGGCCUUCGGGUUGUAAACCUCUUUUAGUAGGGAAGAAGCGAAAGUGACGGUACCUGCAGAAAAAGCACCGGCUAACUACGUGCCAGCAGCCGCGGUAAUACGUAGGGUGCAAGCGUUAUCCGGAAUUAUUGGGCGUAAAGAGCUCGUAGGCGGUUUGUCGCGUCUGCUGUGAAAACUGGAGGCUCAACCUCCAGCCUGCAGUGGGUACGGGCAAACUAGAGUGCGGUAGGGGAGAUUGGAAUUCCUGGUGUAGCGGUGGAAUGCGCAGAUAUCAGGAGGAACACCGAUGGCGAAGGCAGAUCUCUGGGGCCGUAAACUGACGCUGAGGAGCGAAAGCAUGGGGAGCGAACAGGAUUAGAUACCCUGGUAGUCCAUGCCGUAAACGUUGGGCGCUAGAUGUGGGGACCCAUUCCACGGUUUCCGUGUCGCNGCUACGCAUAGUCGCCCGCCGUCGGGAGGACGGCCGGCGACGGACGUAACUACAACAGAAGUAGUACGGCGUGAGACGUGCCGACGGACGACGACGAGGGAGGAGG